GACCUUCGGGUCUAGCGGCGGACGGGUGAGUAACGCGUGGGAACGUGCCCUUCUCUACGGAAUAGCCCCGGGAAACUGGGAGUAAUACCGUAUACGCCCUUUGGGGGAAAGAUUUAUCGGAGAAGGAUCGGCCCGCGUUGGAUUAGGUAGUUGGUGGGGUAAUGGCCCACCAAGCCGACGAUCCAUAGCUGGUUUGAGAGGAUGAUCAGCCACACUGGGACUGAGACACGGCCCAGACUCCUACGGGAGGCAGCAGUGGGGAAUCUUAGACAAUGGGGGCAACCCUGAUCUAGCCAUGCCGCGUGAGUGAUGAAGGCCUUAGGGUUGUAAAGCUCUUUCAGCUGGGAAGAUAAUGACGGUACCAGCAGAAGAAGCCCCGGCUAACUCCGUGCCAGCAGCCGCGGUAAUACGGAGGGGGCUAGCGUUGUUCGGAAUUACUGGGCG
rnacentral:rRNA from 1 species